AUAAAAUGCUCAACUGGGCGCAGCUUGAUACGACCGCAGAGGUCGAACCCUGAACAGUUGGGGCAAGUAUGGACACAACAUUCAAGCUUGAUACAGCUCUGAAUUUGGAUUGUGAUUAAAUAUUUGACACAGCAUAGGUUUCUGACACAGAAUGAAUGUGGUCUAAGAACUUAAAAAUUUUAAAUUGGACAUUCACCUAUUAUGGUCCAAUAUCCAAAAUCUAAAUACAUGGUUAGAUUCAGCAUAUCAAAGAACCCCAAGAAUUCAAUUUUUGAUGAAAUCAAACAAAGUUUAAUUUUGGACCCCGAUUUGGACCAACUUGAAAACUGGGCCCAUAAUCAAAAAUCUAAAUACAUGUUUAGAUUCAGCAUAUCAAAGAAUCCUAAAAAUUCAAUUUUUGUUAAAAUCAAACUAAGUUUAAUUUUGGACCCUUUGGACCUUAAUGUAGACCAAUUUGAAAACGGAACCAAAAAUUAAGAAUCUAAAUACACGGUUAGAUUCGGCAUAUCAAAGAACCCCAAUAAUUCAAUUUUUGAUGAAAUCGAACAAAGUUAAAUUUUGGACCCUUUGGACCUCAAUGUGGACCAAUUUAAAAACGGGGCCCAAAAUCCAAAAA